ACUUCCUGUUUCCGCCUACCUGGCCAUGACACUGUCCAGGAAGUAACAGCUUUUCCAGGAAGUUAAAGUGUCUUCAAACUUCUUUCAUUCACAAAAUUGGUCUUACUUUGGAGCCGCCUGCACAUAUCUCCUAACAUCACAGGAGUCACUCCUCAGGAGAGAUCAUUUUAUCCAGGACGAGGAACUGGAGGUGUGGGCAGGAGGAUUUCCAGAACAUCACAUCUUCCCUUGUAAGAGGGUUGCGGGAUUAAAGUGGUGAAUAAUACAUGGCUGAAAGCACCCGUCUCUCUGAGUUGCCUCUCUUUGGACACCAGGGGAUCUGAAGGCAACUCUUGCACUGCCAGUCUUGGGGCUCCCAGAUCCUUUCCUGCAAAGACAAACUGAGUCUGCUGGCCAGCACUGGUCCAAAUACUGUGUCCUAUGUAACAAAGGAACAAGAAAAAGAUCUGCUGCAACGUUAGGAUUGUCAUGGUGUGGCUGCAUUGUAGGUCAUUAAGUGAAACUGAAUAGAGUGAUAUGGACUUUUUGUUCUAAGUCUCACCUGCCAACAAGGACUUCACCAGGACAACACUGGCCCUUCCUAGAUCACGUGCAAGAGGCCGAGCCAACCAGCAGGAGUCACUAGUGUAGAGACAUGCUCCCUCACCGGCUUCCUACCUGCGAUUUUGUUAAUCAGCGCACGACCAAGCCAAAAGUACCACUGCCAGGGACUAAACCCAGGUCUCUGAGAUGGUGGGUGAGUGUUAUCCACAUUGUGAAACCCCCAAAUUACUUAAAUAAAAUUUGAUGAAAUACUAAUGGUAUUAAUAACAACAAUGAAAGAUACAAGAGCAACUCUGAGUACACCACAACAAUUAAAGGAAACUACCAGAUUGAACCAUGCCCCUGAGACAAAAGGCCCCCUUUACACUCUGCGGUUUUGGGCUUUGGUCGUCAGUACAAACAGUGGUCCUACACUAAGUUGCUUGUUUAUUAGGUACACCUAGCUAAAGCCAGUGCAGUCUAAUACAACAGUCCUGCAAUAAGUCCUUCUUCGCAGAUACGACAUUGUAAUUGCCAUGCAUUUUUUAAUACGUUGUAACUGUAAUAGUGCUAUGGCAAAAGCUUGUUUUGCUGCAUUUUCAAAACAUGAAAAUGGUGCCGACUGAUUGUGGGAGUUGCAUUUUUUCUUUCUAAAUAUAUUGUAGCAUUGCAGUUCACCAGGGAGUCAUUUAAAAAACUGACAUGCCUCAAAACUGAUAUCGUACAGUCUAACAGAUUUCAUUAGACCCAAUUUGAAACCGAAGACCAGAAUGUUUAAGAUCUGUGCUCCUCAGAGGACAAGCUGUUGCUGCUUCUCAGGAUAUUUUCCUAAAAAAAUGGAGGGUCCAACUACAGCCGAAAGCACGAGGGCCCAAAAAUGCGAACUCUGUGACAUGUUUUUAAAUCAUCAAACAUGGAGGACUUCACAGAAACUUUUAUCUGCACCAAAUGCGAUCAAAUAAAAGAACUACAGGAGAAGCUGACUGAUUGCACAUGAAACUCAUGACUGAGCUAAACACUGUCUUAAGAGACAUCGAAAUGUCAGGACACUUAACUCCACAGCCUUAAAUCGGAUCAGCUGGCAUGGGAGCACAAAACUUGUUGCGCUCCUUGAAUCAGCUCUCCCAGUUCAAGAGCCAUGUGUAGAAACACUGGCUGAGGAGCACUUUCCACCACUGACCACCGACAUGGCAGCUCCAGCUGUGGGCCACUCAACGGGCUCGUGCUCCACACCAUGCCAGAGGGAACAUCAGUGAAAUCGGGUGGGUGACAGAGGCAGGCAGGGAAGACACAGGGAAAUCCACCGCCCUCUAUCAUCUCGUCCGGAGCUGAGGCUGCAAAACCGUUUUACGAUGCUGAGCCCGGACUCCUCUCCCGACAGCCACCUUUCCACCAUCGCUUACUUCCACCAUUGUCAUCUGAGAUUCCAUCGUUCAGGAGCUCUCCCUCCCCUCCCGUGGAACCACUGCAGCGGUACACUGUUUCCACGGAGCCCGUGUGUUGGACCUGAACACACAGCUUCCAGCAGUGCUUGAAAAACACGCUAAUGUGAGUACUGUGGUGGCACACAUUGGCAGUAACGACACUUCACAACGCAAGUCCUAAACUUUGAAGGAACAUUUUUAAACUUUUCUCACCACCCUUAAAGCCACUGGAAAAAACAUUGCAAUUUCAGGACCCCUACUGACUUACAAAAGGGGCAUAGAAAACUUCAGUCUGUUCUGCUUAAAUUCAUGGCUAAAAACUGCAAGUGACAAAUUUAAGGUCACUUAGAUAGACAACUUUGAUCUUUUCUGGGGCUCACAACACAACAACAUACACAACAUAGUGCAGUGUAUUUCACCUUUCACCUUAACUACCUACCCCAACUACCCCUGUUGAUUUUAUAAGACCCAUCAUCUUUACUCGACAUAACAUAAUGGCAGCAGAAGUAUAAAGGGCCCAAGCAUAAAUAACUUGAUUACAAUUCCCAUAAACAGGAACUAAUUUUCGGUCGCAAAAAGAACAGAAAUCAACAUUGCUCUUUAGUAUAAAGGCAUUAACAAACAAAUCUUUUUGUAUCAAUGACCUCAUCACUGAUCUUUUUCUCACUGAGACCUGAGGCUGUGCACAGAUGUACCUGCCACACUGACUGAGGCCUGUCCACCCACCUACACCUAUUCGCCCAGAGAGGAAAAGAAGGGUGGAGGGACAGCUGCAAUCUACAGAGGGAGACUGAAGGGCAGGGAUGUGGACCUAGGCACAUUUCAUGCCUUUGAAUAUAAUGCUACUCUUAUUUUCUCAGCCUUGUUUCCUUGCAGUGACAAUAUAUAGAUCUCCUAAAUUAUCUAUUCUCUCCUUUUUAAUGGAAUUCUCAGACUUACUAUCUGUCAUUCACACGAGCUAGGACUCCUGCAUUUUAAUUGGUGAUUUUAACAUACAUGUUGAUAAUCUGGCACAUACCAGAGCCGAAGAGUUUUUAGAAUUGUUGGAAUGUAUGGCUUUUAAAAAAGCAUAUUAACAUACCGACUCACAAACAUGGCCACACCUUGGAUGUAAUUAUCAUGUGGUCUGAACAUCAUAUCAAUUAUAUAUCUUCACUGAUCUGGCUCUGUCUGACCACCACUGCGUAUUUUAACAGUUUUGAUCUUUCUCUGUCAAGUACCACAGAACGUAGUGUUAAAAAAUGCUACAUUACCCCUGAAGUAGCCACAGCUCUCACAUCACAUAUUGCAACUUACUGUCAUCUUGUGAAGACUUUGUUUUCAUUUUUCAUUAACUGUGCUUGACGCAGUCGCUCCAAUUAAAACCAGGAAAAUAACUACAAAAAAAAGGUUGCCCCAUGUGAAAAUAGUCACACCAUGGAACUAAAAAGACUGCAGAAUUGCUGAGCCCUGAUGGCGAUAAACCAUAUAAAUAAUACAUCACAAUAUACUCACAGAAAAACUGAAAUUACAACAAGACAAUUCAAAAAUCACAGCAAGUGUACUUCUCAAAACCGAUUCACAAUCCCAGAUUGCUCUUUAAUAAAAUAGAUUAUCUGGUAAAUCCCACCACUAAACUACAUUAUCAAGGUUCCAGUUUCUAAAUAUGUUUGCUGGCUACUUCAGGGAGAAAAUAAUCAACAUUAGAUCUGGUAUCUGCCAGCAGAACAAGCACACUGCACUUUUACCUAUAACCUGGGUACAGAGUGAUGUCACAUUGGAACAUUUUGACCUGGUUGAUGCUGAAACUCUCAGGAAAAUAGUAACAGAACUGAAGCCCUCCACGUGUUCACUUGACCCGAUUUCAACCUCCCUUUUAAAAAUAUUUAUAAUUCUGUAACUGAAGACAUCCUUGCCAUAGUAAAUCACUCCCUACAGCUUGGUGUCCUCCCCACUGAUUUUAAAACUGCUUUAGUAAAACCUCAUUUAAAGAAAGGGAACCUGGAUAUUUUAACACCCAGCAAUUUUAGACCAAUGUCAAAUCUCACAUUUUUAAGUAAAAUUUUAGAGAAACUAGUUUUAAAUCAGUUAAGUACCUUUUUAAACUCUAAACACUAAAUUGGAAAUGUUUCAAUCAGGUUUUAGGACACAUCACAGCCCUGCUAAAAGUAGUUAACGAUAUCAGAACAAAUCUUCACAACAACAAGCCUUCAGUGCUGCCUUUGAUACUGAGGACCACCAUAUUCUUUUAAAUAAAUUAAGUAAACAUGUUGGCCUGUCUGGAAUUGUUUUUAACUCGUUUAUCUCAUAUCUUCACAGGAGAAAAUUAUAAAUCUAUAGAUGACCACUCCUCCAAACACUUUGAGGUUACCUGUGGGGUACCACAAGGAUGAAUUCUAGGACAGUUGCUUUUUAAUUUGUACAUGCUACCCUGGGCAGUGUCAUCAGGAGGCAUGGCAUCUCUUUCCACAGCAGUGCUGAUGACACUCAGCUCUAUGUGGCCAUGUUUCCUGAUGACACCGGGCUGAUUGACUCACAUUUUAACUGUAUUUUAGAUAUGGAUGUCACAGAAUUUCUUACAGCUCAACCAAGAUAAAAACAGAAGUACUGAUCAUUGGUUCAAAGGCUCAUAGAGAAACUGGCCCCCAAACUAAAUACACUAGGACUCAACCCAAGCCAAGGAGCUAGAAACCUAGGAGUGAUUUUUGACUCUGAUUUCAAUUUCAAGGCUCAUGUUCAGGGUAUCACAAAAACAGCAUUUUUUUCAUUUGAAGAACAUCUCCAGUGAGGCCAUUUCUCUCUCUGAGCAACACAGAGAGACUGAUGCAGGCUCUACUAUACACUACCUAUUUUAAAGUCUUUACACUGGUUACCUGUUAGUUUUCAUAUUGAUUUUAUUAGUUUAUAAGGCACUACAUGGUACCAGACUACCUCUCAGAAAUGCUUGUAGUCUAUGAACCAGGAAGGCCCAGAUCCUCUGGAUCUUCUUUUAGCUGUUCCACAAACCAGAACAAAAACAUUCGGAGAUGCUGCAUUCAGCCACUGCGCUCAAAUUUUAUCUUUAUCUAUUUAGUUUAUUGAUAUUUUACUUUUAUUAUUUAUUUAUUUUCUUUUUUAACUAUACAACUUUUAUGUUGUCUUAUUCAUUGAACUUUUAGUUUGUUUUAGUGUGCAUUAGUCUCUAAAUCCAUUUUUUAUCCUAAAUUUUGUCAAUCCCUUGUAAAGCACUUUAAAUUGCAUUUGAUUUGUCUGAAAGGUGCUAUAUAAAUAAAGUUUGAUUGACUGACUAACAAUGAACCUGCAAAACUGCUGUUAUUGCACAGUGAUUAGGGGCCUCAAGACUAGGAGAGGCACAGGUAAAUGUCCUACCAAAAACCUUAAUGCUUGCACACUAGAAUAGCCUGAACAGAUGUCUCAAUAUGCAACCAAAAUAAGUCAAUAUAACAUCAUCAGUCAUAGCUGCUAACUGCACUGUUUUAUGAAAUCAGGA